rnacentral:rRNA from 1 species
UACGUAGGGUGCAAGCGUUAAUCGGAAUUACUGGGCGUAAAGCGUGCGCAGGCGGUUUUGUAAGUCAGAUGUGAAAUCCCCGGGCUUAACCUGGGAACUGCGUUUGAAACUACAAGGCUAGAGUGUGGCAGAGGGGGGUGGAAUUCCACGUGUAGCAGUGAAAUGCGUAGAGAUGUGGAGGAACACCGAUGGCGAAGGCAGCCCCCUGGGUUAACACUGACGCUCAUGCACGAAAGCGUGGGGAGCAAACAGG